AUCCAUGUGUCUAUGGGACCUGACGACUGUGGCAGUCUCCCUUCCUAUGCAUGGAAGAUCAAGUCCUUGUUGAUUGGCAAAGCUGUACCGUUCCGUUGGUAACAGAUUCUGACUUGCACAAGGGACAUCU